CAAUUUCGAUGAUGUAGUCUCAGCUCUUCUCGAGAGAGGAGAACGAGGAAGCGCUUCACUAUCUGACCAGAGUAGAGGUGACCGAGUUCGAAGACAUCAAAUCUGGCUACAGAAUAGAUUUCUAUUUUGAUGAAAACAUGUAUUUUGAGAACAAAGUCCUCUCCAAAGAAAUCCACCUGAACGAAAGCGGAGACCCCACCUCAAAGUCGGUAGAG